UCCCAGACUCCUACGGGAGGCAGCAGUGGGGGAUAUUGCACAAUGGGGGGAACCCUGAUGCAGCGACGCCGCGUGGGUGAAGGAGCGUUUCGGCGCGUAAAGCCCUAUCGGCAGGGAAGAAGGAGGACGGUACCUGACUAAGAAGCCCCGGCUAACUACGUGCCAGCAGCCGCGGGAAUACGUAGGGGGCAAGCGUUAUCCGGAUUCACUGGGUGUAAAGGGAGCGUAGACGGCGACGCAAGUCUGGAGUGAAAGCCCGGGGCCCAACCCCGGGACUGCUCUGGAAACUGCGGCGCUGGAGUACGGGAGGGGCAGGCGGAAUUCCUGGUGUAGCGGUGAAAUGCGUAGAUAUCAGGAGGAACACCGGCGGCGAAGGCGGCCUGCUGGACCGUGACUGACGUUGAGGCUCGAGAGCGUGGGGAGCUAACAGGAUUAGAUACCCGAGUA
rnacentral:rRNA from 1 species